GGAAUAAAUCCGUUUUUGUCUUCGCGGAAUGGACGACACAACAGUAGUGACGCCUAAACAGCGUCCAAGCGAUGUAUCGUCUGAGCAGUGCCACAAAAGCUCCAUCAACCUGUGAGGGUUGGAGCACUGACUGUGGUGCGUACAAAUAGCUGCUGCCACCGAAACUAGUUUUUCGCAUUUCUUGUUUCACGCUCGAGUUCUACGCUCGAAGGCUUGCUCUGCAGUACCGGGGAUAAGCAGAUGUGGCACCGCGGCGGAGCCGCGAGCAAAGAAACUGCGUAAGCGUCCCUCAAAAGUAAGUGAAUCCGCUUAAAAUUCAACACCCUGCAACCGCCCCCGCCAAGCCCGGUACAGCUUCCCGUGGAUGAAGACUCCAUUAUCCCCUCGCGACCAACGUUACAAACGGAACCACAAAAGAAUCACUUCUUUUCGGCAAUUUCGAGGGAGCAUCCCUUUCUGGGAAUUGCGAUGUGGCAACGGCUCGGUACACUGGCGUCCACUAGUGUCAGUGAGCUUGUCAGCCGCCGCUUUGCAUUUCAAUUCUACGCGUUGCCCGGAAGAUCAUUCGGCCUAGCGAAAAAGGACACGCGCGUUCCUUUUUGAUUCGUCGAACCACUACACAUCAUCGCUUAUUUCGAGCUACUGCGACAAAAACUACGUUGGAAGCCUUCUUUGAGGACACAGGAGGCAUUUGAAUCAUAUCGAUCUCCGAGAAAAUGCAGGUGAGUUUCGGUUCCUGGUUGGGGUCCGCGUUUCAGAAGUGAACGUCCGCUCUCGUACAACUGAAUCGGGCGCAACUCUUCCACUCCCAACUCAUUCUAGAAUGUGUCUACCGCAGCAGAGUUCCGAACGCUUGAAUGGUAUCUCCAGCCACUUCGAGGAAAUAUUGACUGACACCGCGCGCUAGACGAUUAGGGAAGCGUUCUGCGAUCGCACUCAGAUUCAGUCACGAGGGGUACCCGUUGGUUGCGCGGUCGGGGCUGAAGAAUCAGUUGCGGGAUCCCCAGCUGGGGGUUCGAGAUAGUACUCCGGAGGAGGUUUGAAUCUCGGGGUAAUAUCCAAAGCUCUUCGCAGGAAAUCGUGUUCGGCGGUACUUUCUAAAUCCGCCUUCCGCUGAGCAGGUCUGCGACCCACUGGACUCCCUGAGCUGAGAGUCUGUUCGGCCUGUUGAGGCACUCGCACCCGUGCUUGUCUCCUCUCCAGGAAGUCGCUCCAAAAGGCUUCGUCGUAGUCUAAAUCUACGUCAUAGCUAUCAUCCCCUUCCCACUCCGUCCAGCCGUAGUACAACAGUCUUAAAAAGAAUGCGGCUGCAGCUACUCCCAGCAACAUUUUCCCCUUGGACUGGUGGCGACGGAGCCACGAAAAGAAACCCCUUGACGUCUUCGUCCGCAUUUCUGAGUCAUCUUGAGUUGCCCACGUGCUUCUUUUCCUGCUCCUGCGCCUACGAGGCGACGUCCGUCGACCAAUGAUGCUGAUUCCCCCUGAAUCUUCUCGUUCUUCCUGUUUGAAGGAGACGGUGGCCUCUCGCAGAGGAAAAUAUUCGGCAGUCAACAACUUCAGAUACUCUUGAACCGCCUCUUCAGCUUGACGUCGGUUAAGAGUAUCCGAGCGGGUUGACUGCGGGGAAAUCCAUUCUUCUGUGGCGACCUCUUUCGGAUCAACCGCACGUACCUUAUCCCGUCGCCUACUUUGGCGAGGAGAGUCAUUUUCGGGUGGUGUCCAUGCGUCUUUGUCUCUCUCUGAUUCAUGGAUUUCCUGUGGAACUCCGGGAGCGAAGUGAGAGUCAUUGGGUACCCGUGUCUCAUCGACAGCGGAUGCCGCCACUUCACAAAAGACUUCCAGGAAACAAACAAGAAGUACAAAGAGUGAC
rnacentral:lncRNA from 1 species